rnacentral:rRNA from 1 species
GACGAACGCUGGCGGCGUGCCUAAUACAUGCAAGUUGAGCGCUGAAGGUUGGUACUUGUACCAACUGGAUGAGCAGCGAACGGGUGAGUAACGCGUGGGGAAUCUGCCUUUGAGCGGGGGACAACAUUUGGAAACGAAUGCUAAUACCGCAUAAAAACUUUAAACACAAGUUUUAAGUUUGAAAGAUGCAAUUGCAUCACUCAAAGAUGAUCCCGCGUUGUAUUAGCUAGUUGGCGAGGUAAAGGCUCACCAAGGCGAUGAUACAUAGCCGACCUGAGAGGGUGAUCGGCCACAUUGGGACUGAGACACGGCCCAAACGCCUACGGGAGGCAGCAGUAGGGAAUCUUCGGCAAUGGACGAAAGUCUGACCGAGCAACGCCGCGUGAGUGAAGAAGGUUUUCGGAUCGUAAAACUCUGUUGGUAGAGAAGAACGUUGGUGAGAGUGGAAAGCUCAUCAAGUGACGGUAACUACCCAGAAAGGGACGGCUAACUACGUG